UUCGCAGUGACAUCUGUUGUGACAGCAUGCAAGCAGUCUAGAGUUGUAAUGGCGGUAGAUAUUGGCGUGGGUUUGUUAAUGGUGAAGAAGAAUUCCGUUGUUAAUAUUGCACAUGCGGUGCAGCGGUUGUCCUGUGUGGGAGGAAGCUGCUUUGAGUAUGCAGAAUGGACUGGAACAGAUGAAGCCGGGGCCCUUGAUGGUGACUGCAGAAGUCAUCAGGGCCAUUGAUGGUGAGUGGAGAAGUCAUCAUGACUGGAGUGUAACAAGUAAGUGCCAGUAUGACCUGGAGAUUUCCUUGAAACUAAAAUUCUUAGGUUGCCAGCCAUGUCGUGUGCUUGAAAGGUAAUCUUAAAACCUUGCUUACUGUGUAGUGUAUUGGAAUAUAAGACAUGCAUACAAACAGAACUGUCUGCACUUUGAAGGACAGUAAUGCCAGACGGAUUUUGACCUCAUGAGGUCAUCAGUGUCUAAAAGAUUAUGGUUUUUAACUGAGCAUAAAAGGCAAGUUCUUCACUAAAUCACAUUUAUGUAAUACCACACUGGAUGUUGAUUGCUCAGGAGUUGGCUGUUUUGUCGGCUUGCCGUUGUUGCGUUGCCUGUGAACUUCGAUGAUGUGUGGGUGUUACUGUUGGUUUUAAAAAUGUAGAGGGCAUAAAUUAACUCCUGAUAACAGGGUGGCCCACUAUUGCAUAAGAAAUUUACAUUUUUCUGUUUAUUGCCAGGUCAAAUAACUUGUAGUCAUGAGCGUUCUGAUCAUUUAUGAUAUUUAGGUUUUUGCUAGUUUUGUAUAUAUUGGAUUUUUAUAAAAUGUCAGCAUUUUACCUUUCGAGGCUUUGUUCUCAUCCUCAAUGCUAAAAGUGCUCAGUUUCUUCAAAGAUUGAUUUUCUCGUCUUUCAACCACUUGGCAUGGCUGGUAGCCUGAGAGAAAUUCAUUAUAAGUAAGAGGCAGUGUUUAAGUGUCAGUUUUAUCAUUCAGUGUGGAAUAACCAUGGCGUAAUAGCGUAAGGUAUUGUAGAGCGAUUGAGAGCCAUUUACGUAGUGGAAUCACGAAUUCAUGUCCCACGAUAUAGUUCUGGUCUUCGGCACUUACUACCUCAGGUGUCAUAACUUGAAUUAAUGUCGCCUAGCUGUUUAUGUCAUGCCACGCCUCACUUGAGUAAGUGAAUGGAAAUGAAUUGUCUGUGGAACAGGUGCGUGAUGAAAAUAUAAAAGAAAGAACAAUCAGAAAUAAAUUUGUAAAUAUGGACGAAAUUAGGCUGAAGACAUUUCACUGUAGUUAUUUUUUUCAAAAUUUUUGAUUUGAAUAUUGAUGACAAAGUAAAAUGCUGGAAAUGAUAUAUUGUAGGAUGUUCUCAGAAUUGGUGAGUUUGAAAACUGUCGCUUUCUGCGCUGAGCAAUUUUAGAUCUGCUGCCUUUAAAGUUUUAUCAUGAAAGUAGUUAAAAUCGUCUUUUAAUUUUCAAAUUACGUCAUCGACUAGAAGUGCUUAGGUUUGCGGUUAUUGAAAUGUGCCUGCACCAACAAAGCAGAUAUUCAGGCCACAUUUAUCGGAUGCUGAGA